AGCGUCAUGCUUUAGGGAAAUCACAUGAAAUCUGAUUAUGAAUGUAUACAAUUUAUGAAAAAAAUCAACUAAGCACCAUUCUAAAACGAAUGUAUAAACUUCCCACUAUUGUGGCUCCAGUUACUAUGUCUAAUAACUUAGAGAACUAACUCCCAUUGAACCUAAGAGAUUGAACAUGCAUCAGGUUUGAGUUUCGAUAGGUCCACAAAGCGCAAUAGCAUCAAUCUCUGUUGGUUAAGAACACCUUGCUCACAUGAAAUAUUUUCAAGCAAUCAAAUCAGCUCACACUGCAUUCAGAUAACCUAAGAUCAUGAAUUAGGUGAUCAAUAAGUUCAAACAUUAAAAACAAUCCAAGUGAAGAACUGUAACGCAUAUUAUCUAAUCAAACAAUCCUAAAAUUCAUUCUCUUAGAUUCCUUUGAAACCCUAAAAUCUAACUAUAAUGCUACUCAACAUAACCAAAUAACACAAGAUCAAUGAUAGAAUAUGCAUAAUUGGAAUAAAGAGACAAAAACAAGGUUCAAAAAGAUUCUUUUGUCUCUUCACAACUUUAAAAGCUUAAAAGUCUGGACCUAAAAACGACUCAAAAUAGUAGAUAUAGGCCAAAAUACGUAAUCAUCAAAUUUUAGGACAAAUCAAACCGAAAAUAAGAAAAUCUAAAAAAAAAAAUUCUCGUAUUAAAUUGGCAAAUAGUCCAGUUUUCAUAACUUUCGAUCUAACCGAUAGAUCGACCUCCCCCGGUGGUAUUGGAAAGAGAAGUCAAUUCUCUAUCUUUUUCCAAACUGAGCUCAAUCUCAAUGUAGAAAAUCUUCCUUCAAUUUCUGACACAUUUUACAUCUUUUGUUUUUUGUUUUUUUGUAUCCAGUUCAAACUAUAUCGUUCUAAGUAGACUUUAAACCUGUAAAACUACCAAAUAACACCAAAAUAAUUCAAAACACAUACUUAACUUAAUAAAAUACUCAAAAUAUAGGAUAGAGGUAGUAACAACACUGAUAUAUCCUGUAUGUGUAAACAUAGUUUAUAAUUUUGGUUAACGCUAUACGUCGACUUAAUUAAGUUAUUUUAUCGAGUUGAACUAGUGUAUGGAAUUUUAAUACGAUAUAUAUUAUAUUAUAAAAAUAUAUGAUACUAGAUAAAAAUAUUAAAAAUGUUAAAAUUUUCUUAGGCCAUCCAAAAGUGUUCUACCGGCACUAUGUGUCGCGAGGAAAUCCCAAUCUUACUCUAUGUUUCAUUCUUAAAUAUACAUUAAAAUAAAAAUGACCCAAUAGUUCAUUAUAUUUUUUAUAUAUAAUAGAGUGAAAACGAGUUUACUAGAUUAAUUUGUUUAUUUUUUAUUCACCUCUCUAUUUUUCACUUUAAAAUAGAAUACUAUUGAAAUAUAACUCAAUUUUAUUAUAGAGUUAUUCUACUUUAGAGUGAAAAAGAGAGUGAACCAUUGGAGAUGGUCUAACAUCUCAUUUGGAUAUAUGUUUGUUUCUUAACUUUUAAAUAUUUUAUUUGUGUACAAAUCUAUUUAAAUAUAUUUAAAUAAUUGAGGAAGCACCUUAACGAUUUUUAUCUGAAAAAGGUACAAAAGAAAAAUUACUAAACAAGCACAAACCACUUAAGUAUAUAUCAUGAAUUAUUAAUUAACUUCCUAUUGUGAAAAAUACAAGUCUUGACAGUGUUUUAUGCAAACUACUCAAUCUUUAAGGAACUAAAAUACUAAUCUUUACGUACAAACAUAGUACGUAGUUUACUGAUUACCUUUUCUUUUAUUUAUUAGCUUGACAAAUUUUAUUUUUAUUAAUAAGAUAUCCUAAAUUAGAAAGUUGACCAUUUUUCUUAAAUACUUUUCCCAAUCUUAGUUUUGUUAAUAAAUUAAACUUUCCUAAAUAAUAAUUUGACCAUUCUGAUUUUCUUAAAAAGAUAUCCCAAAAUGAUAAACUUGACCAAUUUUUUGGAAAUAAUUUUAUUUUUGAACCUAUAAAAUAUGUUUUAACUAAUAUAAAAUUAAGAAUAUUAAAUUUUGUGAUUAUGUUAUGAAAUCUUACAAUAUUUUUGUAUCGAACUACAGUUUAGCUAAAUAUUUAUGUAAACUGAUAAUUUAAUUGAAAAUAAUUUUUGCAAACAAACAUUUAAGCAAAUAAUAAUUUUCGAAAAUUAAUAGCUAAAUUUAAAAAAAAAUUAUUUUUGCUAAAUUUGGCAAUAAAAUAAACUUCUGCUUAAAUUUGGUCAAAAAUGUAACUAAAUUAAUAUUAAUUUUCACAUAAACUUGUCAAAAUGAGACUAAGAUACUAAAGUAAUAAAAUAGGUUGACCAUAAAAGUCUUUAAAGAUAAUUAGGUAAUAAAAUAAAUCUAGUCUUAUAAAACUGUAAGUUAGUAAAUAUAUGUAUGUAUCAAACCUCUUUGGAAGAUCCAAAAGUUAAGAAGGUGUGUGAAUAUACAUACUACGUUCUAUCAUAUUGACAAAACAACAAUACAUCUAUUUAAUUGUCUCUGCUCUCUUAUUCACGCAGGGAGGAGGAAGAAAGAUGGUGUCGUGUCGGAGGUUUGCUCAGGUGUACUCGAGUGACGACGAAGAGGACUCUCUAGCGAAGACGAGGUCUCAGGGACAGAACUCAAGGAGACCUGAGGAAACAAUGGAGGGAAAAAUGAGGAAACGCAAGAAGGUGAUCCUGAACAAAGAGUCUGAUGGGGAAGAGGAGGAGACAGAGAGCAAGAGAAAGAAAGAUGACGAAGAAACGCCGCCGAAGGAAUUGAAGCCCGAUGACGCGAAACCGGUUGGUGAGCCGGUUAAAGUUACGGGUAAAGGAACCCAUUACGGGCAGUUCGAAUACGGCGGUAACAGAUACGAGCUGGAGGAUUCGGUGCUGUUGCAUCCAGAAGACAAUAGUCUUGAGCCUUAUGUUGCCAUUAUCAAGGAUAUUACCAAAAAACAAGAUGGAAGGAUGAUGAUUCUGGUACAAUGGUUUUAUCGUCAAGAAGAUGCAAAGAAAAAGGAUGGUGGAAACUGGGUAGUAAAUGAUACACGUGGACGUUUCUACAGUUUCCAUCGUGAUGAGGUCCCAGCAGAAUCAGUGAUGCAAAGAUGCGUGGUGAAUUUUGUUCCAGCAUAUAAGCAACUUCCGAGUGGCAGAGGUUUUAUCGUGCGAAAGGUGUAUGAUGCGGUUGAUAAGAAGCUGUGGAAGUUGACUGACAAGGAUUAUGAAGUUGCAAAACAACGUGAAAUUAACCUCUUUGUGGAUAAGUCAUUGGCGCGAUUGGGUGAUUUUCCUGACCUUGAAAUUGAAGAAGAUGUAGAGAAGGCUAAAAGAUUUUCCGGGAAAUUAAAAAGACUUCAUGUUGAUCUUAGAAAGGACAAAGAUGUGUUUCCUAUUUCAUCAGAGUAUCAUUCUAUCUUAGACAAGUUUGAUUCACUAACAGAUAAUUCUCAUCGUAACGAAUGUUUGGCGAAGCUUCUGGAAGCAGUCCAGAGCAUAUGCUUUAAUGCUGGUGAUGAAGCAAAUGUGAGUUCCAAAUAGUCUCUAUUUUCACGCACUCACCUUUCAUUAACCCUUUUGUUUAAACUGCUUGAUAGGAUGAGAGCUUUCUCUGGCCAGAUGCUGCUGUUUCUCCCGUGUGUGCCCUUGAGCUGGCUAUAAAUGUUUCUUAUGCAUCAGACUAUUCUAAAUACAAUCAAAGGAUAAGGACAUUAGCAUUCAAUCUGAAGAACACUGCACUGCUGGCUAAACGACUGCUCAGUGGCGAGUUAGAACCUGAAAAGAUUUCGAACAUGUCACCCACUGAGUUAAAGGUGGGUCUAACUAAUGAGGAAACAGAGAAGAAUGAGCCUGAUGAUGCGGAACGAAUGCAGGUUUUUUCAUUUAUGACAGCCAAAGUUUUAUCCAGUUUCUUGGAUUUGUGUUGGAGAAUGUCUUUGACCAUGCCAUGUGUUGGCUUUUCAUGCAGAUGACUGAUGUAAGAUGCUCGAGAUGCAGUCAUAUUAAAGUUGGCCUGAGACAUAUCGUUCAAGCUGGGCAUCGAGAUCGCUAUCAGGUUCUUUUGCUUUUCAAUAUUAAGUCAUCUAUUCUCGGCACGAUCUUAUGCAUAUUCAUGGAUCAUAAUAAUCACAUUCUGGUUUUUUAUGCAUUUAGUUGGAGUGUAUUGCCUGUGGAAAUUCCUGGUACACCUCAAGGGAUGAGGUAAUAUCCUCUAGCUGUAGAUACUGAACAACCUGCCUAAGGUACAAGGAGUGAGGACGUUGAGAAGAAUUUAACCAGUCCUCCUGAAGCUGAGAAGAAAGCGACAUAAGACUCCUUGAAGACAACCAAUGACUCAAAUGCUGACAACAAUCCUGAAGCCACCAAGAAACCUGAGUGAAGAAAGUUUAUUUAGGGUUUUAGGUAUGAAAUCGGACAAUAUGAAAACUAAUUUAUGAAAAUAAUUGUAAAACUUCGAUUAUGGGGAUAUAUCAGUUGUCAAUGGAUUUUUGUUUCAUUAUGGAUCCUGCAGAAUUUGGAAUAGAAUAACUCUAUUAUUUCUAUUUAUUGUUAUUACUUUGAAGUUAGAUAAAUACCUUUUUUUAUGAUUUUGACAAAUAACCGUUUAAUGUAAGAG